GGAGGUGCAAACGUUAAUCGGAAUUACUGGGCGUAAAAGCGCACGCAGGCGGUCUGUCAAGUCGGAUGUGUNAAUCCCCGGGCUCAACCUGGGAACUGCAUUCGAAACUGGCAGGCUAGAGUCUUGUAGAGGGGGGUAGAAUUCCAGGUGUAGCGGUGAAAUGCGUAGAGAUCUGGAGGAAUACCGGUGGCAAAGGCGGCCCCCUGGACAAAGACUGANNNNAGGUGCGAAAMCCKUGGGGASCAAACAGGAUUAGAUACCCUGGUAGUCCACGCCGUAAACGAUGUCGACUUGGAGGUUGUGCCCUUGAGGCGUGGCUUCCGGACKAACGCGUUAAGUCGACCGCC
rnacentral:rRNA from 1 species